AAAGGUGGCGAAGUGGUGAGAGCACUCGCAUCCCACCAAUUUGGCCUAGUUUCAAAUCCCGGCGUCU
rnacentral:tRNA from 1 species